rnacentral:rRNA from 1 species
AGUGAACGCUGGCGGUAGGCCUAACACAUGCAAGUCGAACGGCAGCACAGUAAGAGCUUGCUCUUACGGGUGGCGAGUGGCGGACGGGUGAGGAAUACAUCGGAAUCUACUUUUUCGUGGGGGAUAACGUAGGGAAACUUACGCUAAUACCGCAUACGACCUACGGGUGAAAGCAGGGGAUCUUCGGACCUUGCGCGAUUGAAUGAGCCGAUGUCGGAUUAGCUAGUUGGCGGGGUAAAGGCCCACCAAGGCGACGAUCCGUAGCUGGUCUGAGAGGAUGAUCGGCCACACUGGAACUGAGACACGGUCCAGGCUCCUACGGGAGGCAGCAGUGGGGAAUAUUGGACAGUGGGCGCGAGCCUGAUCCAGCCAUACCGCGUGGGUGAAGAAGGCCUUCGGGUUGUAAAGCCCUUUUGUUGGGAAAGAAAAGCAGCAGGUUAAUACCCCGCUGUUCUGACGGUACCCAAAGAAUAAGCACCGGCUAACUUCGUG